rnacentral:rRNA from 1 species
CCUACGGGAGGCAGCAGUGGGGAAUAUUGGACAAUGGGCGAAAGCCUGAUCCAGCAAUUCCGCGUGUGUGAAGAAGGCCUUCGGGUUGUAAAGCACUUUAGUUGGGGAAGAAACAGUUUGGCCACACCAAGCCUUGACGGUACCCAAAGAAUAAGCACCGGCUAACUCUGUGCCAGCAGCCGCGGUAAUACAGAGGGUGCAAGCGUUAAUCGGAUUUACUGGGCGUAAAGGGUGCGUAGGUGGUUUUGUAAGUCGGAUGUGAAAGCCUGGGGCUCAACCUCAGAAUUGCACUCGAUACUGCAAGACUAGAGUUCGGUAGAGGGCGGCGGAAUUCCCGGUGUAGCGGUGAAAUGCGUAGAUAUCGGGAGGAACAUCAAUGGCGAAGGCAGCCGCCUGGGCCUGAACUGACACUGAGGCACGAAAGCGUGGGUAGCAAACAGGAUUAGAUACCCUGGUAGUCCACGCUGUAAACGAUGAGAACUUGACGUUGGUUCGUUUUACGAAUCGGUGUCGNNCUACGCGAUAGUUCGUCCGCCGUGGAGGUACGGCCGCGAGGUUAGUAACGUACGAAGUUAGUUAGUAGACGUUGUAGAGAGCGACGACGACGACGAGGAGGAGGAG